rnacentral:lncRNA from 1 species
AUAAUGUCCUUAAACUUCAUCCAUGUAUAGCAUGUAGUAGUCUGAGACUAAAGAUAAGAGAUUAGGGUAAUAGACUGUUACUGAAAUGUAAUCUAACCAAAGGUACUGGGUAAUGGCAACCAUGUGUAGUAUAGUAUGAAUAAGUUGGUUACAGAUAUUUUACCACUGUGGAAAUCUUUGUCAGAAGACAGAGAGGAGGUCAAUGUUAGUCCAUUGAACUAAGCACACACGGGAGCUUGGAAACCAAAAGAAAAGGUACACAUUUUUCUCAUUCCAAAGAGAAAAAUGUACUGGAGCGAGAUGAGGUUGAAAGAAUCAUGGAGAAGGAUGUAAACUGCCAAAGCUAAAGAGAGCACCUCAAAAGGAGAAUUUCUCUAAGUGUAGAAGAUUGUGUGAAGAGUAUAAAUCUUGGGUGGUGUUAUGUAGCCAAAGCUAAGCUACUCCAUCUAGGGGGUAGAUCCAUUUAAAUUUUCAGUUACUUCCUCAUGGGGUUUACUUCUUGAUCUUUUUAAAAAGAAGAAUUGUAUUUACUGAAAAUGUAUAACAUAAUGAUGUGAUAUACAUAUACAUACUGAAAUAAUUACUGCAGUCAAGUUAAUGAACUUAUCCAUCUCAUCACAUAGUUACCACUUGUGGGUAUGUGUGGUGAGUUCACCCGAACUUAUACUUUUCGCAUUAUUCCAUGAAUGAGAGACUAAAAGUCUGGUUUCAAAAUAUGUCAUAGAAGAGUCCCUGCUGGCUUAGUGGGUUAAUGGUCUGGCAUUGUCACUCCUGUGGUUACGGUCACCGCUGUGGCAGAGGUUUGAUUCCUGGCCCAGAAACUUACCUAUACCACAGAAAAGGCAAACAAACAAACAAACAAACACCAACAACCUCUGCCAUAACAUGAAGUGGGGACAAAAGAGAAGUCAGGAUGUGAACUGUUACAUACUGUAUGGAAGAAGAGAAGCCCAUAAUCAUGAAAGAGAGGAUGUAGAGCAAUGGAAAAUUCAGUGUGAUUCCUUGGUAUAGGAAAUGAGACAGAAGGAUGAAUUGAAAGCAGAGAUAUACUUUGAAUCCACUAAUUCCAAUAUCUACCAUCAGUUAUUCCAUCUGGUUUGAUGCUAUAUCUGACUCUUCCACUAAGUUCUUGCAUUAAGUUCUUCGUAAAGUAUCUCAGAUUUAACCCGUGGUUCAACAGUCUAUGAUGCCAGGCCUGGAAUCAUUCAUCACAUUUCUGCUUUCCCACUUGGCUCCAUUUGUGCUAUCCCAAUGGUACACCCAUCAAGUAGAGAAGAAAAUUGGAGGGGGAAGAAGAAAUGUGUUUCUUUUUCCAGGUGAGAUUUUUCUACAAUGCCUUGUCAAUUGAUUCUAGUAUCUAUUCUAGUUAGUAGUAGUUGAAUCCAGUUUUUAUUUUAUUUAUUUAUUUAUUUAUUUUGGUCUUUUUGCUAUUUCUUGGGCUUUUCCCGCGGCAUAUGGAGGUUCCCAGGCUAGGGGUCAAAUCAGAGCUGUAGCCACUAGCCUAUGCCAGAGCCAUAGCAAUGCGGGAUCCGAGCCGCAUCUGUGACCUACACCACAGCCCACGGCAACGCCGGAUCCUUAACCCACUGAGCGAGGCCAGGGAUCGAACCUGCAGAGCCAUCGUUCCCAGUCGGAUUCAUUAACCACUGAGCCACGACGGGAACUCCCAGUUUUAAAUUCUUUUCCAACAUUUGCAGAAUUAGUCUCAUUGCCCCCCUCACAGAAAUCAAUGCAAGCCAACUACUCUGGCUGACAGCUUCAUGAGGUUCAUCUUCUGAACUCAGAGACAUCUGUACAGACCUAAAGGUGUCUACUGUUUAACAGUCUGAGUUUCAGCUUUGCAGAAUACUUCCUUGUAGCUUUUAAAUUUCAGUAAUUUCAGUUUCUUCUCUGCCUCAGGGAUGGAAGCAGCCCCCUAUCAUUACUAAGAUAGUUUGCAUUCUUGGUCACUCUUCAGAUCUUAGUGCAAAAUUAACAAUCUUUAUAUAUAUAUCUAGGGGACAGAAACUUUAUAUAUAUUUAGGGGACAGAAACUACAUGAUUUUUUUAAAACAAGAUGUAUAUAUAAAUUUUAAACUAUAUAUAUAUAUAUAUAUAUAUACACACACAUAGUUUAAUUUAUACAUCUUGUUUUAAAAAAAUCAUGUAGUUCCUGACUCCUAGCUAAAUUCAGAUUGAUACACCAUAUUUAGACCUUGAAAAUUCCAUGAGACUUAAUUUUCUCAUAAGUGGAAAAAAAAUGUUUUUAGUGGACAAAAACCUUCUUGCUGUAAGUUUUAUAAUUUCCCAUACAGCCUCUAGAAUUCCUUUCUUAAAAUAUGUGCUUACUGCCAAAUUGGGUAAAAGAGUAGACUUGGAAGUCUUAUUUGGUUUUUCACUUACUAUGGCUUUACAGGGAUUAUCAGACGAACUAACAGUCCAUCAAAUACACCAAACAUCUCUGCUCGAGAAGAGAAUAUAAAGUCACAGUAAAUGUCACUGAAAUUCAGAGGAACAAAUGCUUGAUUUAUGCAGUGUUGAUACAGAGACUGUAUCAUGCUAGUUGGAGAAGGGAACCACAAGUUAGGACCCAAGGGAUAAAGACUAGAGAAAAAGAAAGCAAUUAUGAUUAUUUUAUUCUUUUGCACAGUAAAUCAGCAAUAGUACUGAUGAGAAUGAACAUGAACAAGUUGCUAAACUUCUCAAUCCCUCAUCUAAAAAUUCCCUGUUUUAAAUUCGGGAAGAUCAAAGUUCCCAUUGUGGCUCAGUGGGCAAGAACCUGACAUAGUGUCUGUGAGGAUGUGGGUUUGAUCCCUGGCCUCCCCCAAUGGGUUAAGGAUCUGGCAUUGCUAUGACGUGUGGCAUAGGUCACAGAUGCAACUGGGAUCCAGUGUUGCUGUGGCUGUGGUGUGAGCUAACAGCUGCAGAUCCAAUUCGACCCUUAGCCCAGGAAAUCCCACAUGCUACAGAUGUGGCCCUAAAAAGAAAAAUAAAACAAAUAAAAAUUCAGGAAGAUAGGAGGAUACUAUGUGCCCAUUCCUUAGAGAAGUUACUGGGUUUAACAGAUUGGCAUCUAUGAAGUGCUCAGAACUCCUGAGGGAAAUAUCCUGAGUAGGAGUGGGGUGUUCUUAUUAUUAUUUUAAAGUGGCAAUGGUCCUGGGCAUGUGGCUUGACUAUUAAGAAACUCAGUAUAAUGUAGCAGUAAAGAAAAAAAAAAACAGGAAGCGGGGGGGAAAGGAUUAAAGAAGAUUAACAAAAAGGAAAAAAAUUGCUGUUAUAGGUAUUAGUUAGAAUUAAAAGUCAAAAGAGAGAAAUUUUAUAGGUUACUGGACAGAAGCAAAUCUUUCCCUUUUGAGCUCUUCUGGUGUCUUUGCAAAUGGGCUAGAAAUCUAAUAAGCAUCAUCUUCCACUUGGCGUUUCAAACAUCCCACCCUGAGAUAGUGCCGAAAAUACCGCAGGAAAGAGUGGCCCUUCUCAGAGUAUCGCAACCUUCCUCUUCCAGACGGAUGGUAUAAUAAAAAUAUUCUUCCAAUUAUUUCAGAGUCUUAAAAGAGACAAAGAGAAGCUACAGCUUAAGUUCAAUUCUGAAAAGGUGUGAAGUUGUCAGUGAAGCUAUUUCUGAGCAGGUUGGCCAUUCCGCGUAAGGAUUCUUUAAAGCAAACUUUUCUGCCUUGUUUAAAAAAAUAUUAGAGGGAAGGCAGGAGAUUCACCCUCUUAUAUCAUAGCAGCUGUGGAAGAAAUACAGUGCGGAAGUUUGUGAAGUCACUUGAAAUGUUGAAAAUACUCAGACAAAAGGCAGAUAGUAAAUAGAGGAAUACUGAACUCAAUCUGGUAGUGGCAUCAAAAGCACAUUCUAGUAAGAUUUCUUCAGAGGACUGUGGGAGGAAAUAACUGCUAAGUACUCAAGGACAUUCCUUCCUAGUUUCUCUUUCCAGAAGCCAUAAUGUCAACUCUUUUCCAAAGGCUCCUCAUAAUGUGAAUCUAUGCAAAUGUCUCUGUGCAGUAAUAGAGUAUCAGUGACUGAGAAACAAGUUGAACUUCUGGAGUGUGCCACCACUGUAGAUGAUGACCCCUGUGCAGGUGUCCUUCUUUAGCACGUGAACCUGCGAAGGUCAUUGUGUCAUCCAGCUGCAUAAAGGCCCCUUUCCUGUGGCACAGGUUUUGUUUGAAUAGGAAUUCCCUUGAGUAAGAAUAGUGCCGAUGGCGACUGAAUUAUAGAGUAAUUCUAUUUUCUAAAAUUGAAUCCAGAAAUGAAGAGGAAGAUAAGUAGACUAACUCAGGAGGCUAUUGCAGCAGAGACCACCUCGGACUUGGAAAAACACUCAUAUAUUUCCAGAUAACUGACUUUUAUGGUUAAAUUGGGCAAAUGCAUCUUACUCUCUGAAUAGAUGCGGAACGAAAUAUUGCAAUCUGGCAUGUGACAGAGAGUAAAUACUCAGGGGACAGUUUAGUUUAAUUGAUAAUUGGUGCUCAGAACCAGAUUUAAUAGUUUUGACUUUUUGUCCUGGAUACCACUAGUACAUGAUUAGUAGUCAGGAAGAGAGCAAAUCCUUUUCACUUAGAAUGAUCUUCCCAAAAGAGUCAGCAUCAGUCUUUGCCCUCAGAGAGAAUUCCCUUGAAAAUUAUUAAAAGCUACCAAAGCCCUAAAGGUUCUCUGAUUUCUGUGUGUGAUAUGCAUCAUUUAUUUAUUCAAACUGCAUUAUUCUUUGUUGCAGACCCACCCCUGAUUAUGUAUUUUUGAACCUUAGUCUUGUUUAGCAUUUGCAUUGCACUUCGACUUUAAGGAAGGUAUGCUGCAGGCAUUUUUACCA